rnacentral:rRNA from 1 species
CUACGGGCUGCUGCAGCGGGGAAUAUUGCACAAUGGAGGAAACUCUGAUGCAGCAACGCCGCGUGGAGGAUGACACUUUUCGGAGCGUAAACUCCUUUUAUAUAGGAAGAAGAUGACGGUACUAUAUGAAUAAGCGCCGGCUAACUCCGUGCCAGCAGCCGCGGUAAUACGGAGGGCGCAAGCGUUACUCGGAAUCACUGGGCGUAAAGAGCGUGUAGGCGGAUUAAAAAGUCAGAAGUGAAAUCCUAUAGCUUAACUAUAGAACUGCUUCUGAAACUCUUAAUCUAGAAUAUGGGAGAGGUAGAUGGAAUUUCUGGUGUAGGGGUAAAAUCCGUAGAGAUCAGAAGGAAUACCGAUUGCGAAGGCGAUCUACUAGAACAUUAUUGACGCUGAGACGCGAAAGCGUGGGGAGCAAACGGGAUUAGAUACCCCUGUAGUC